AGAGAGAAACAAAAUGAUUGUGAGAGCAAGUCUCCUGUGUAUAGCACCCUUUUCACCCACAGAUACAAGCGACCACUCUGAAAAUCCUUUGACGACCCUCCAAAAGGAUUCGCGACCCACGGUUUGAGUGUUCUAAAGGCUACAUCAGUGUGUUACAGAUUCUUUACCAUCUGUCUGAUACAGGAGUGCUUCCUGCAUUCCUGAGCCGUUAGAAUCUGGCAAAGGUCCUCCCUUGAGAACUCCAUGUGCACUAAAACCAAACCGAAUUCCCCGCCUCUCAGGGAAAAGUGGCCUCGUCCUUGGGUCUCCUCAAGUGGCUGUGUGAACUACAAAAGCCUCGUCUGUUUAUCCUGACCAGUAAUGCACAGACUCUGGCAAGAGGACCACAAACACAAGUCCAGCCUAGACUACAGUCACCUUGUGCAAUUUAGUAACAAACCAUCACAAAUGAAAGAUUACAAAGGGUUGCAGACAGCUCAGCAGAAGACUGCUCACAGCCUAGUGGAGGACGAUGUAGUGAACCUAGGAACCGGACCACUCCAUGGGGAGAAAGCACGGUUUAUUGGUCAGUUUUAAAAUUACAUGGCAAUCUCUC